GACGAACCGUGCGAACGUUGUUCGGAAUCACUGGGCUUAAAGGGCGCGUAGGCGGACGACCAAGUCGGGGGUGAAAUCUUUCGGCUCAACCGGAAAAUAGCCUUCGAUACUGGCCGUCUAGAGGGAGGUAGGGGCGUGUGGAACUUCCGGUGGAGCGGUGAAAUGCGUUGAUAUCGGAAGGAACUCCGGUGGCGAAAGCGACACGCUGGAUCUCUUCUGACGCUGAGGCGCGAAAGCCAGGGGAGCGAACGGG
rnacentral:rRNA from 1 species